AUUGAACGCUGGCGGAAUGCUUUACACAUGCAAGUCGAACGGCAGCACGGACUUCGGUCUGGUGGCGAGUGGCGAACGGGUGAGUAAUGUAUCGGAACGUGCCCAGUCGUGGGGGAUAACGUAGUGAAAAUUACGCUAAUACCGCAUACGAUCUAUGGAUGAAAGCGGGGGAUCGCAAGACCUCGCGCGAUUGGAGCGGCCGAUAUCAGUUUAGGUAGUUGGUGGGGUAAAGGCCCACCAAGCCAACGAUCUGUAGCUGGUCUGAGAGGACGACCAGCCACACUGGAACUGAGACACGGUCCAGACUCCUACGGGAGGCAGCAGUGGGGAAUGAUGGACAAGGGGCGAAAGCCUGAUCCAGCCAUUCCGCGUGCAGGAGGAAGGCCCUCUGGUUGUAAACUGCUUUUGUACAGAACGAAAAGGUUUCUACUAAUACUAGGAGCUCAUGACGGUACUGUAAGAAUAAGCACCGGCUAACUACGUGCCAGCCGCCGCAGUAA
rnacentral:rRNA from 1 species